rnacentral:pre_miRNA from 1 species
CGCCGGGGUAUGACGUCGUACUGUGACGUAGGUUGCGCAGUAGUACGUCGUUCUCCGGACGG